GACACUUGCCUUUUAGGCAUCCUCUCCCAAAACUUUUACGGGCCGCCCUUCGGGGCGGCCCUUUUUUUUCGCCCUC
rnacentral:sRNA from 1 species